UCCUACGGGGGGCAGCAGUGGGGGAUAUUGCACAAUGGGGGGAACCCUGAUGCAGCGACGCCGCGUGAAGGAAGAAGUAUCUCGGUAUGUAAACUUCUAUCAGCAGGGAAGAAAAUGACGGUACCUGACUAAGAAGCCCCGGCUAACUCACUGUCACCCCCCGCGGUAAUACGUAGGGGGCAAGCGUUAUCCGGAUUUACUGGGUGUAAAGGGAGCGUAGGCGGCAGUGCAAGUCAGAAGUGAAAGCCCGGGGCUCAACUCCGGGACUGCUUUUGAAACUGUACAGCUUGAU
rnacentral:rRNA from 1 species